AUUCAGGGGGACGGAGAGAUUGACGGGGACGUCACCCAUCGUAUAGGAGUGGGGUGGUCAAAGUGGAGACUUGCAUCAGGGGUCCUGUGUGAUAAGAAAAAUUCCACACAAACUCAAGGGGAAAUUCUAUAGAGCAGUGGUUAGACCUGCGAUGUUGUAUGGGGCGGAGUGCUGGCCCGUGAAGAACUCUCAUGUUCAGAGAAUGAAGGUUGCGGAGAUGAGGAUGCUUAGGUGNNN
rnacentral:lncRNA from 1 species